rnacentral:rRNA from 1 species
UGGUCAAGUUAUUAAGGGUGCAGGGCGGAUGCCUUGGCACUAGGAGCCGAUGAAGGACGUGAUAAGCUGCGAUAAGCUUCGGGGAGUUGCACGUAAACUUUGAUCCGAAGAUUUCCGAAUGAGGAAACUCACUUAGAGUAAUGUCUAAGUAUCAUUAAGUGAAUACAUAGCUUAAUGAGGGGAACUCAGGGAACUGAAACAUCUAAGUACCUGAAGGAAGAGAAAGAAAUUCGAUUCCGUAAGUAGCGGCGAGCGAACGCGGAUUAGCCCAAACCAAUAAAGUUUUCUUUGUUGGGGUU